AGAGUUUGAUCAUGGCUCAGAUUGAACGCUGGCGGCAUGCUUAAUACAUGCAAGUCGAACGGUAACAGAUUCUUCGGAAUGCUGACGAGUGGCGGACGGGUGAGUAAUACAUAGGAAUCUGCCCAUGUAGUGGGGGACAACUUGGGGAAACUCAAGCUAAUACCGCAUAAUUCCUACGGGAUAAAGAGGGCCACUGCUUGCAAGCUCUUGCUACUGGAUGAGCCUAUGUCGGAUUAGUUAGUUGGUAAGGUAAUGGCUUACCAAGACAGCGAUCCGUAGCUGGCUUGAGAGGAUGAUCAGCCACACUGGGACUGAGACACGGCCCAGACUCCUACGGGAGGCAGCAGUAGGGAGUAUUGGACAAUGGGCGCAAGCCUGAUCCAGCAAUGCCGCGUGUGUGAAGAAGGCCUGCGGGUUGUAAAGCACUUUCAAUUGGGAAGAAAGAUUAUGAGUUAAUACCUUAUAAUAUUGACG
rnacentral:rRNA from 1 species